UUAAUUAACUAUUUAUACUUUGUGUCUUAUACUGUAUUAUGUAAUUUCAAAGUGUUUCAUCUUGAAAAGUAAAAUAAUUACCAAAAAAAAAUAAAAAAAUAAAUAUUGACAAGUAUUCAUAAACAAUAAGGUUCUCUACGGGUGACCCCCGCCAGUAAGAAAUAGCCAACAGUGCUUAAAUAAUCAAUCAAAAUUUAAAUAAAACGUUAUCACAAACCUCUGUAUGUGUGUAAACGAAUGAAUGCAUUAAACAUAUCUGCACACAUCUGUUAUAAACCAACAAUUCCUAGUGAACAAAGUUAUAAAAUAAUGUAGAGAUUUAUACUUUGAGCCAGACACUGUUCCUCUCAACUCAAUUAGGGCAAUAACAUGGGAACUCUAAAACGCAGAAUGAAAAUCAGAACAAAUAUUCAGUAUAAACAAUGAU
rnacentral:lncRNA from 1 species